rnacentral:rRNA from 1 species
CCUACGGGUGGCAGCAGUGGGGAAUAUUGGACAAUGGGGGCAACCCUGAUCCAGCCAUGCCGCGUGUGUGAAGAAGGCCCUCGGGUUGUAAAGCACUUUCAGUGAGGAAGAACGCCUGGUGGUUAAUACCCAUCAGGAAAGACAUCACUCACAGAAGAAGCACCGGCUAACUCCGUGCCAGCAGCCGCGGUAAUACGGAGGGUGCGAGCGUUAAUCGGAAUUACUGGGCGUAAAGCGCGCGUAGGUGGCUUGAUAAGCCGGUUGUGAAAGCCCCGGGCUCAACCUGGGAACGGCAUCCGGAACUGUCAAGCUAGAGUGCAGGAGAGGAAGGUGGAAUUCCAGGUGUAGCGGUGAAAUGCGUAGAGAUAGGGAGGAAUACCAGUGGCGAAGGCGGCCUUCUGGACUGACACUGACACUGAGGUGCGAAAGCGUGGGUAGCAAACAGGAUUAGAUACCCGAGUAGUC